rnacentral:misc_RNA from 1 species
CUUGAUAAAUAUCAUCUGAGAUGAGGCCCAUUCCAUGUGCAAAAGGGAGAAGAGCAUUGCCCCCAUCAAAAUUUCCAUCUGUGACCCCAUUCCCCACGACGUAACCCUACAUAUCAACUCAAAAUAAUUACAUCAAUUAUGAAUUAUUUUCCCAAUUCUUACCUAUACUAACUAUUUCUUGCCAAAUUCACUCACCUUCAAAUUGAUAGUUGGCUUUGCACCAGCUUUGAUUCCUACAAGAGAACAUUUUCCUUAAUACAAUAUCUAGCUAGUAAUUUUUCCAUUGCUUGAGAGAUUGAAUUGGUUUAAUUUGAAAUUAAAAUCAGAAUAAAAUUAAUUAAAUUUAAAUUGAUCAAAAUCAUAAUUGAAGCAGAUAAAAUUAAUUAAUGUGGAAAAGAAAAAAGAAAUUAAUAAUUAGAUUUGAUCAAAAUCAUAUUGAACAUAAACUAAAAUCAGAAUUAAAAAUAGAGAUUUUUUAGUAUGGUACUUGUUUCUCUGGCACGAGAAUUAGAACAGUAUUUAAAUCUAGAACAGACUAUGGCCAUAUAUA